GUGAGGAAUAUUGGUCAAUGGGCGGGAGCCUGAACCAGCCAAGUCGCGUGAAGGAAGAAGGAUCUAUGGUUCGUAAACUUCUUUUGCAGGGGAAUAAAGUGCCGGACGUGUCCUGUUUUGUAUGUACCCUGAGAAUAAGGAUCGACUAACUCCGUGCCAGCAGCCGCGGUAAUACGGAGGAUCCGAGCGUUAUCCGGAUUUAUUGGGUUUAAAGGGUGCGUAGGUGGUUUGAUAAGUCAGCGGUGAAAGUUUGCAGCUUAACUGUAAAAAUGCCGUUGAAACUGUCGGACUUGAGUGAAAAUGAGGUAGGCGGAAUGCGUGGUGUAGCGGUGAAAUGCAUAGAUAUCACGCAGAACUCCGAUUGCGAAGGCAGCUUACUAAGCUACAACUGACACUGAAGCACGAAAGCGUGGGGAUCAAACAGGAUUAGAAACCCUGGUAGUCC
rnacentral:rRNA from 1 species